rnacentral:rRNA from 1 species
UGAAGUGGUUAGAAUGUGUAGUGUAGCGGUGAAAUGCAUAGAUAUUACANAGAAUACCAAUUGCGAAGGCAGAUCACUAAUAAUGUANUGACACUGAUGGACGAAAGCGUGGGUAGCGAACAGGAUUAGAUACCCUGGUAGUCCACGCCGUAAACGAUGGUUACUAGCUGUUCGNACUUCGGAUUGAGUGGCUAAGCGAAAGUGAUAAGUAACCCACCUGGGGAGUACGUUCGCAAGAAUGAAACUCAAAGGAAUUGACGGGGGCCCGCACAAGCGGUGGAGCAUGUGGUUUAAUUCGAUGAUACGCGAGGAACCUUACCAGGGCUUAAAUGUAGAGUGACAGGUAUAGAAAUAUAUUUUUCUUCGGACUCUUUACAAGGUGCUGCAUGGUUGUCGUCAGCUCGUGCCGUGAGGUGUCAGGUUAAGUCCUAUAACGAGCGCAACCCCUGUUGUUAGUUGCCAGCGAGUAAUGUCGGGA